UACGUAGGGUGCGAGCGUUAAUCGGAAUUACUGGGCGUAAAGCGUGCGCAGGCGGUUUUGUAAGUCAGAUGUGAAAUCCCCGGGCUCAACCUGGGAACUGCGUUUGAAACUACAAGGCUAGAGUGUAGCAGAGGGGGUAGAAUUCCACGUGUAGCAGUGAAAUGCGUAGAGAUGUGGAGGAAUACCAAUGGCGAAGGCAGCCCCCUGGGUUAACACUGACGCUCAUGCACGAAAGCGUGGGGAGC
rnacentral:rRNA from 1 species